AUGGUAUGGAAGAGACCAGCUUUUGCUGUUGGAGGGACUGGUUUUUAUACAGGACUCGAGCUUCAGACAGACGUGGGUAUCAAUGUCCCCCAAGGCUCGUUCCCUCCUCUAGCUACUGGAUACCAGAAGACCCUUAGGACAGAGGUCCCCUCGACCACGCACCUGAUGACCCAACAUGCACUUGCAACACCAUGCUCAUGCAGGGAGAAACUUCACGUCCUGUUCUCAUACGAGGAACAGGCGUGCACGGACGUGACGCAUGAAUGCAAACAAUGGCCCUUAAAUGUUGUUCACCUUCAGAAAGCCGUUGACCCUCGCCGCCAAAGGCUGUCUUAUCUGUGGGGCUGCCAAGAGACGUGA
rnacentral:lncRNA from 1 species